AUUGAACGCUGGCGGCAGGCCUAACACAUGCAAGUCGAGCGGAUGAAGGGAGCUUGCUCCUGGAUUCAGCGGCGGACGGGUGAGUAAUGCCUAGGAAUCUGCCUUGUAGUGGGGGAUAACGUCCGUAAACGGGCGCUAAUACCGCAUACGUCCUGAUGGAGAAAGUGGGGGAUCUUCGGACCUCACGCUAUCAGAUGAGCCUAGGUCGGAUUAGCUAGUUGGUGGGGUAAAGGCCUACCAAGGCGACGAUCCGUAACUGGUCUGAGAGGAUGAUCAGUCACACUGGAACUGAGACACGGUCCAGACUCCUACGGGAGGCAGCAGUGGGGAAUAUUGGACAAUGGGCGAAAGCCUGAUCCAGCAAUGCCGCGUGUGUGAAGAAGGUCUUCGGAUUGUAAAGCACUUUAAGUUGGGAGGAAGAGCAGUAAGUUAAUACCUUGCUGUUUUGACGUUACCAACAGAAUAAGCACCGGCUAACUUCGUG
rnacentral:rRNA from 1 species